CAGCUCAACUGAAUUCCUUUCCUUCUCCGAUGCAGGUAAAUCAGGCACUGCUUGCUGAAUCUGAGUGCUGCCUUUCCUCUUGGUACCCCGUUGGUUUCUUAGUUCGUGAUUUAGCCUCCAAAAGAAAAACUCGGUGGACGGACCCCUAAGCCUCUGGAAGACUCUCUUCAUCGCUGGAAAAGGAAAUGGUUAACAGCCCCUCAGAUAUUCUACCAAGAAAAAGAGACUAUUAUUCUUCAAAAACAUCAAAGGAACGAUGAGGAGCUAUUCCAGAUUAAAAAUAUGACAACAUGCAACAUGUGGCCUGUAUUGGAUCCUGCGCUGGGAUGGGGGGUGGAGCUAUAAUAGAUAUGAAGAAAAUUGAUGGAACUUUGAGUGUGGGCUAUGAAUUAGAUAAUGUCAGUAUUAAAUUUUCUGAAUUUGAUCACUGUACUGUUAUGUAAGAGAAUGUUCCUGUUCUUAGGAAAUACAUAUGGGCAUGCUUAGGGCUAAAGGACUUUGAUGUCUCCAACUUAUUCUCCAAUAGUUUAGGAAAAAUGUGUAUGUGUGUACCCCCAUGUGUUUAUAUAUGUAUGUGUGUACAUAAAUAUAUAUACUUACAGAGAAAACAGUAAAAAUGUAAACAAUUUGUAAAUCUGGGUAAAAGCUA